CUUCUGAGAGCUCUUUUGUGCGAGGCAUCAUUCACAUCAGGCAAUGCUUCUUGUGAAAAGCAAGAUAAAAAAGAAGUCACCUUUAUUUAAGAUGUCAAGAGGAACUGUCCCAGAUAUAGACAGAUCUGGAUACUUGUCUGUGCCUUCUGGACAGCAGCUCCAAGCAUUUCAACCUGAAGAGACUCGCACACAAACUGGCCAGCAGAGUCUACACAGCAUCUCGUAUAUGUAUCUUCAAGAGCUGAAACUUCUCGAUUCCAUCACUUCAUCCCAAACCCAGGAAAACCUGCUACAGUUACAUUAUGCUUCAUGAUUCCAUGGGACAGUCCUCACAAGUCUAGGACCACUGUCUAUUAAAGUAACGGUCAGUCAUAAACUAUGCAGAGUUCCUUAUUAUUAUUCUGAAUUUUUUUUUUGUUUGGUGAAUCUUUCUUUUUAUUGUGAUUUUU